UGCGUCGGGAACAAGGGUAUAUGGUGGAUGCCUAGACAUUGUUUAGCGAUAAAGGACGUAGCAGACUGCGAUAAGCCUCGGGGAGUGGUCAAGCACAUUUUGAUCCGGGGAUGUCCGAAUGGGGUAACCCACUGUGGUAAACCCACAGUAUCAAUCAGUGAAUACAUAGCUGAUUGAAGCACACCCAGGGAACUGAAACAUCUUAGUACCUGGUGGAAUAGAGACCAAUAGGUAUUCCCCUAGUAGUGGCGAACGAACGGGGAGAAGCCCAAACCGAUUGAGCUUGCUUAAUCGGUGUUGUGAGGUAGAAACGUUCCAAGUUUAUCUUGGAGGUAGAGUUAAAACAAAGAAGUUUUCGUAGUAAAACAGGAUGGAAAGCCUGGCCAAAGAAGGUGAUAGCCCUGUAUGCGAAACGAGAUUUCGCUCUACGGUUUUUAUUCUCGAGUAACAUGGAACACGUGAAAUUCUAUGUGAAUCUACCGUGACUAUACGGUAAGGCUAAAUAUAAACAAUGAUCGAUAGUGAACAAGUACCGUGAGGGAAAGGUGAAAAGAACCCCGCAAGGGGGGUGAAAUAGUAUCUGAAACCAUAUAUCUACAAUAGAUCGGACCUCAAGAUUCGUUCUGAGGGACGGUGUGCCUAUUGAAGAAUGAGCCAACGAGUUAUAUUAAAUGGCAGACUAAGCUUUGAAAGAGUGGAGUCGUAGGGAAACCGAGUGUUAAUAGCGCGAUCUAUACCUAAAUAGACAGGACGGACUGAAAAAUCAGGUAGUUCUUUUAUUUAGGUAUAAUGUCUUUUGAUAUAGACCCGAAACCGAGUGAUCUAGCCAUGACCAGGGUGAACCUUGCGUAACAGCAAGGGGAAGCCCGAACUCACUAGUCGUAUAACGCUAGGGGAUGAGUUGUGGUUAGCGGAGAAAUUCCAAUCGAACUCGGAAAUAGCUGGUUCUCCUCGAAAUAUAUUUUGGUAUAGCCUUGUAAACUACUUUUUUGGGGGUAGAGCACUGAAUGGGUGUGGAGUCUUUUAGAUAUCCUACCUAACCAAACUCCGAAUACCAGAAAAGACUAUUACAAGAGUCAGAACGUGGGGGCUAAGCUUCACGUUUCAAAAGGGAAACAGCCCAGAUCACCGGCUAAGGUCCCCAAAUCUCUGUUAAGUGUGAAAAGUAGUGUCGUGACUCAAACAACCAGGAGGUUGGCUUAGAAGCAGCCAUCCUUUAAAGAAAGCGUAAUAGCUCACUGGUCAAGUUGCUUCGCGCUGAAAAUUUAACGGGGCUAAACAGAGUACCGAAGCCGUGGAUGUUUUGUUUUUUAAACAAAAUGUGGUAGAGGAGCAUUCGCAUUGCGAUGAAGAUGGAUCCGUGAGGACCACUGGAGCGAUGCGAAGCGAGAAUGUUGGCAUAAGUAGCACAAAUGGUGGUUAAAAUCCACCACGCCGUAAGCUCAAGGUUUCCUGGGCAACGAUGAUCGACCUAGGGUUAGACGGUCCUAAGGCGAGGCCGAAAGGCGUAGUCGAUGGACAGACGGUUAAUAUUCCGUCUCUAGUAUUCAUUUCGUGAUAUCCGACGCGUUUUGAAAGCGCAGGUGUCUUAAAGGAUUGAGACAUUAGUGGUGUUGAAAAACAUCAUUACCAGAGGGCGGGGCAACCCAAACUCAAGCAGUGCGGACAGAAGGCCUAGAAAAAGAUGGUCACAUGUGGUGAAUACUAUCCGUACCGCAAACCAACACAGGUGAGCGAGGAGAGUAUCCUCAGGCGUACGAGAGAACCUUCGUUUAGGAACUCGGCAAAAUAACGGCCGUAACUUCGGGAUAAGGCCUGCCCUGCACCGCAAGGCAGCAGGGCCGCAGUUAAAGAUUUCAAGCGACUGUUUACCAAAAACACAGGUCUCUGCUAAAUCGCAAGAUGAAGUAUAGGGGCUGAUGCCUGGCCAGUGUCCGAACGUUAAAGAAGCGGGUUAGUCCUUCGGGGCGAAGCUUGCGACUGAAGCGCGGAUGAACGCCAGCGAUAACUAUAAUCGUUCUAAGGUAGCGAAAUUCCUUGUCGGGUAAGUUCCGACCUGCACGAAUGGCAUAACGACUUGAAAACUCUCUCAACGAAGGACUCGGCGAAAUUACACUACCGGUAAAGAUGCCGGUUACCCGCAGCUGGACGAAAAGACCCCGUGAAGCUUUACUAUAGCUUGGCAUUGAUAUAUUUGUUUGUUUGCUCAGUAUAGGUGGGAGACUUUGAAGGGCCGCUUUGGCGGUUCCGGAGUCACCAGUGAGAUACCACCCUUAUGGAUUAGUAUAUCUAACCUUGAGCCGUGAAACCGGCCAGGGGACAGUGUCUGGUGGGUAGUUUGUCUGGGGCGGAUGCCUCCCAAAAAGUAACGGAGGCGUUUACAAAGGUUGGCUAGGUUCGGAUGGAAACCGAACUGAUAGUGCAAGCGCAUAAGCCAGCUUUACUGCAAGACAUACAAGUCGAGCAGUUACGAAAGUAGAAGCUAGUGAUCCGACCGUCCAAUUUAGGAUGGCGGAAGCUCAUCGGAUAAAAGUUACUCCGGGGAUAACAGGCUAGUCAGGUCCAAUAGCUCAUAUAGACGACCUGGUUCGGCACCUCGAUGUCGGCUCGUCGCAUCCUGGGGGUGAAGUAGCUCCCAAGGGUUUGGCUGUUCGCCAAUUAAAGCGGCACGCGAGCUGGGUUCAGAACGUCGUGAGACAGUAGAUUGUGCUGUCUAUAAACUUCGCUAUUUGCUGGAAACUCUGAAAUAGUCCGCAAGGAGAAAAUUAGAGGACUAUAGUAUCUCACACUACUUGUGCUAUAAUAUAGAUUAUGACAAGUGACAAUGUGUUGAGUGCAGACAACCAGCAGGAAAGACAACAAACCAUUCAUCCAUGGUAUAUUUCAGGAUUUGUUGAUGGAGAAGGAAGUUUUCAUAUUGCUUUUUGUAAAGAUAAAAAUAUGAAAACCAACCUCAAAGUUAUUCCUGAAUUUCAUAUUUCUCAAAAUGACCAUUCGGUAAGAGUUUUAGAAAAUAUUCAAAAUUAUCUUCACUGCGGUCACAUUAAAGAAAAUCACCAUGGAAGAAAAAAUGAUCAAACAUUUGUAUAUGUUGUUCGCAAUCGAAUAGAUUUAUCAGAAAAAAUUAUUCCAUUUUUUCAAAAGUAUCAUUUGCGUACUCAAAAGGCAAAAGACUUUGAAAAGUUUGCAAAAAUUGUACAAAAAAUGAAUACUGGUUAUCAUACUUCGAUUGUUGGAGCAAAAGAAAUAAUUAAUCUGGCGUAUACCAUGAAUGACAAUGGUAAACACAGGAUAAUUAGUCAAAAUAAAUUGAUUAGGAUUGUUGAAUCCUCAGAGACUAUACGCGAAGCACCGGUCAAAAUAAGGCCGGGGAAGAUAUAGUCCGAACUGCAUGGCGACAUGCAGAAUGUAGAUCGCUCUACAUCACCACAGAGCACUAACAGUAAUUGAUGUGGUUUUGCAAAGUAACAGAUUGUCGGUCUCCUAUCCGCUGUGGGCGUAGAAUUUUGAGAGGGCCCUUCUCUAGUACGAGAGGACCGAGAAGGACGAAGCUCUCGUGUACCAGUUGUCCCACCAGGGGCAUUGCUGGGUAGCGACCUUCGGUUAAGAUAACCGCUGAAAGCAUAUAAGCGGGAAGCUGUCCUCAAGAUUAGAAUUCAUAACUUCCUGGAAGAUUACCAGGUUAAUAGGCUCUAGGUAUAAGCCCUGUAAAGGGUUCAGCCAAGGAGUACUAAGUAGUUUUCCCGACGCAAA
rfam:Candidatus Kerfeldbacteria bacterium RIFOXYB2_FTLL_38_14 rifoxyb2_full_scaffold_1754, whole genome shotgun sequence.